rnacentral:rRNA from 1 species
UGCGUAGGCGGGCUAAUAAGUCAGUGGUGAAAUCUCUCGGCUCAACCGGGAAACUGCCAUUGAUACUGUUAGUCUUGAGUUCGGUUGAGGUAGGCGGAAUGUGUAAUGUAGCGGUGAAAUGCUUAGAUAUUACACAGAACACCAAUUGCGUAGGCAGCUUACUAGACCGACACUGACGCUGAGACACGAAAGCGUGGGGAGCGAACAGGAUUAGAUACCCUGGUAGUCC